rnacentral:rRNA from 1 species
UACGAAGGGGACUAGCGUUGCUCGGAAUCACUGGGCGUAAAGCGCACGUAGGCGGAUUGCUAAGUCAGGGGUGAAAUCCUGGAGCUCAACUCCAGAACUGCCUUUGAUACUGGCGAUCUUGAGUCCGGGAGAGGUGAGUGGAACUGCGAGUGUAGAGGUGAAAUUCGUAGAUAUUCGCAAGAACACCAGUGGCGAAGGCGGCUCACUGGCCCGGUACUGACGCUGAGGUGCGAAAGCGUGGGGAGCAAACAGG